UCUGCUUACACCAAAACUGCUUGAGAACGCAGACUAGUAACACUAAUAAAUAAGGGGAAACUGGUUAAACCGUACCUGUUGAAUACGCUCUGGUCCAUCAAAAGAUAGUUUACCAAUUGCAGAGGUUACUGGAUACCAUACCUGAAAAAUUCAAGCUCAAGAGUAUGCACAAAAACAAAUCCUUUUUCACAAAAACAAAUUAAAGCUUACCAAAUCCGAUUUUUCAUAAGGUGCAAGUAAUGGCUGCAGUUUCGACGUUGAGGGAUCAUCUAACCAUGUAUCGACUGAAUCCUUGUCUCCCAAAAUUACUGGCAUUCUGUCUUUAAGU